rnacentral:rRNA from 1 species
CUACGGGAUGCACCAGUGGGGAAUAUUGGACAAUGGGGGAAACCCUGAUCCAGCAAUGCCGCGUGUGUGAAGAAGGCCUGCGGGUUGUAAAGCACUUUCGGUUGGGAGGACUGCUUCUAGCACUAAUAUUGUUGGAAGUUGACGUUACCUUCAGAAGAAGCACCGGCUAACUCUGUGCCAGCAGCCGCGGUAAUACGGAGGGUGCAAGCGUUAAUCGGAAUUACUGGGCGUAAAGCGCGCGUAGGCGGCUAGAUCAGUCGGGUGUGAAAGCCCCGGGCUUAACCUGGGAACUGCAUCCGAUACUGUCUAGCUUGAGUACAGGAGAGGAGAGUGGAAUUCCACAUGUAGCGGUGAAAUGCGUAGAUAUGUGGAGGAACACCAAUGGCGAAGGCAGCUCUCUGGCCUGAUACUGACGCCGAGGUGCGAAAGCGUGGGGAGCAAACAGGAUUAGAUACCCCCGUAGUC